GAUGAACGCUGGCGGCGUGCUUAACACAUGCAAGUCGAGCGAAGCGCUUAAGAAUGAUUCUUCGGAUGAAUUCUUUUGCGACUGAGCGGCGGACGGGUGAGUAACGCGUGGAUAACCUGCCUCAUACAGGGGGAUAACAGUUAGAAAUGACUGCUAAUACCGCAUAAGCGCACAGUGCCGCAUGGCACCGUGUGAAAAACUCCGGCGGUAUGGGAUGGAUCCGCGUUGGAUUAGGCAGUUGGCGGGGUAACGGCCCACCAAACCGACGCUCCAUAGCGGGCCUGGGAGGGUGGACGGCCACAUUGGGACGGAGACACGGCGCGAACUCCUACGGGAGGCAGCAGUGGGGAAUAUUGCACAAUGGGGGAAACCCUGAUGCAGCGACGCCGCGUGAGUGAAGAAGUAAUUCGUUAUGUAAAGCUCUAUCAGCAGGGAAGAAAAUGACGGUACCUGACUAAGAAGCCCCGGCUAACUAUGUGCCAGCAGCCGCCGUAAGAC
rnacentral:rRNA from 1 species